rnacentral:rRNA from 1 species
GUGUCAGCCGCCGCGGUAAAACCAGCACCUCAAGUGGUCAGGAUGAUCAUUGGGCCUAAAGCAUCCGUAGCCGGCUCUGUUAGUUUUCGGUUAAAUCUAUAUGCUCAACAUAUAGGCCGCCGGGAAUACUGCAAAGCUAGGGAGUGGGAGAGGUAGACGGUACUCCGUAGGAAGGGGUAAAAUCCUUUGAUCUAUGGAUGACCACCAGUGGCGAAGGCGGUCUACCAGAACACGUUCGACGGUGAGGGAUGAAAGCUGGGGGAGCAAACCGGAUUAGAUACCCGGGUAGUCCCAGCUGUAAACUAUGCAAACUCAGUGAUGCAUUGGCUUGUGGCCAGUGCAGUGCCGCAGAGAAGUCGUUAAGUUUGCCGCCUGGGAAGUACGUACGCAAGUAUGAAACUUAAAGGAAUUGGCGGGGGAGCACCACAAGGGGUGAAGCCUGCGGUUCAAUUGGAGUCAACGCCAGAAAUCUUACCCGGAGAGACAGCAGAAUGAAGGUCAGGCUGAAGACUUUACCAGACAAGCUGAGAAGUGGUGCAUGGCCGUCGCCAGCUCGUGCCGUGAGGUGUCCUGUUAAGUCAGGUAACGAGCGAGAUCCUUGCCUCUAGUUGCCACCAUUACUCUCAGGAGUUGUGGGGCGAAUUAGCGGGACUGCCGUAGUUAAUACGGAGGAAGGAGAGGGCCACGGCAGGUCAGUAUGCCCUGAAACUCUGGGGCCACACGCGGGCUGCAAUGGUAGUGACAAUGUGUUCCGAAUCCGAAAGGAGGAGGUAAUCCAAAAACGCUACCACAGUUAUGACUGAGGGCUGCAACUCGCCCUCACGAAUAUGGAAUCCCUAGUAACUGCGUGUCAUUACCGCGCGGUGAAUACGUCCCUGCUCCUUGCACACACCGCCCGUC